rnacentral:rRNA from 1 species
CUAAGGCUCCAGAGGAAGCCACGGCUAACUCUGUGCCAGCAGCCGCGGUAAUACAGAGGCGGCAAGCGUUGUUCGGAAUUAUUGGGCGUAAAGAGCACGUAGGCGGCCUUGCAAGUCGGUUGUGAAAGCCUUCCGCUUAACGGAAGAAUGCCAGCUGAUACUACAGGGCUUGAGUACGGGAGGGGAGAGUGGAACUUCUGGUGGAGCGGUGAAAUGCGUAGAUAUCAGAAGGAACGCCGGCGGCGAAAGCGACUCUCUGGCCCGAAACUGACGCUGAGUGUGCGAAAGCUAGGGGAGCAAACGGGAUUAGAUACCCCGGUAGUCCUAGCCGUAAA